UACGUAGGUGGCAAGCGUUGUCCGGAUUUACUGGGCGUAAAGAGCGCGCAGGCGGUCGUUCAAGUCGCGUGUGAAAGCCCCCGGCUCAACUGGGGAGGGUCACGCGAUACUGAUCGACUCGAAGGCAGGAGAGGGAAGUGGAAUUCCCGGUGUAGUGGUGAAAUGCGUAGAUAUCGGGAGGAACACCAGUGGCGAAGGCGACUUCCUGGCCUGUUCUUGACGCUGAGGCGCCGAAAGCUAGGGGAGCAAACGGGG
rnacentral:rRNA from 1 species